AUCCAGCUGACGAGUCCCAAAUAGGACAAAACUAAAGUCAUCAUACAU
rnacentral:hammerhead_ribozyme from 1 species